AUCCUGAGCCCAGCGCCCAUGUAUUGGUUCUGUGUUUGAGCCUUACUGGGUUUUUCUGAACUCUACUUCUGACCUGUUUGGACACAGGAAAGAAAAUCACAACCUGUAUGCUUCUGUAUUCUAAUCUAAACGUGGAGCUGGACUUGGGAAGAAGGACUAAUUUAAGGUUACAAAGCACUUUGAGACUAUAAAAUGCCAGGGGAUCUUCUGAACCAGGAAUCAAACCUGUGUCUCCUGCAUUGACAAGUGGGUUCUUCACUGCUGAGCCACCAGGGAAGCCCAGGAUUUGUGGACCAAGAGCAAAAUUGAAGAUACCAUUUAGCUACUAAAACCUCCACCAAGUGGAAGGAGUUAACAGCAUGCUGACCACCAGAAUCUAGAUCCCAAACUGUUAGAACCAGAAGCUUGGUGAUGUUAACACCUGAAAUACCACCCUGUUACUUCAACGCCAACAAAUAGAAGGAUGUCCACAAGUUGACCAAUCACCCUAUGACCCUGUCUCUCACCUCACCUUUAAAGUGUCCAUCCACAGAUGAAUGGAUAAAGAAAAUGUGGACUACAACUCAGUCAUGAAGAAGAAAGAAAUUUUACCAUUUGCUGCAACAUGGUUGGAUUUGGAGGGCAUUAGACUGAGGGAAAUAAUUCAGACAGAGAAAGACAAAGAUUCUACGAUAUCCCUUAUAUGUGGAAUCUAAAAAAGAUGAUAC
ensembl:lncRNA